GUGGUAGUUUCCAAAAAUAUUUUUGUUCCCUCUUGAGACAGAGCUGAAUUAACUGAAUAAAUACACACAGUUAACAAGCUUCUCUGGGGCUGCUUGCCCGACAUCUCAGGUCACUUUCAGGAAAAAAAGAGGUCUAGCAUUAGAGAAAACCAAAUCAAGCCAUACUGGGAAGUAAACCAGCACAGCAAAGGUAGAACAGACCACCAGUCAGGGAAGCAAACUCAUCUCCAGUAGAGUUUGCAGACCUUACCCUAGAGCUGAGAUUUGGGGACAGGUUACAUGGAUUUCUCAGCUACGUUGUUUUCUAUUCCUAUGGUUGUGCACCCUCAGUAAAUGAGAUAAAUAAGCACUACUCCCAUCCUCUCCUGCAUAGGUUUGGAAGCAGAGGGAUCAGGACAGCCAAGGCAUUGACAUGGGCUCUGAAGAACCUGUUGGCUGAAAAUAAUCCAAUUUAUAUUUACUGCAAGUCUAGUGUUACAAUGAACUCAGUCCAUCAAAUUACUUCUCAUCUUCUCCAGCAGGGUGCCUUUUCUCUUGGUUAGAGGGAAUAUGAAGGGCAAAAAGAUUUCCAAAGAAGGAGGGUCUGGUAAUUCUCAACAGUGCAAAUUAGUUCUCAGCAUCUUCAAGAUGGAAAAAACACAGGUAAACAUUCACAUCCCUAUGAGGCUGAUCUAAAAAAUAUCGUUCAACAUAAAUCCUUUUGUCUAAUAAAAAUACAUUUCUGAAUUUCAGCUUUGUUCUUGUUCUGAUGGUGCUAACAGAAUACUUGCAAGCUACCUAUAUAAAAUGCCACAGAAUAUGCAAUGUGUCAAAAUACAUCUGGGUUUGUUAGCAUCAGCAAGGAAAGAAAACCUGUAAUAAACCAUCAAACGAGACCUGUAUCAUAAAACACCAAAUAUUCAUUUAUAGAGUAAAGUACACAGUAAGAUUUCCCAGAGCAAGAUUAAAUUAAAAUAGGAGCUUGGAUAUGGAAAGGCUGUUACCAUCCACAGUCGGGCUGAAGUAGGACAUCAUUAUGGAUGUUCAUUGACAGUAAGACCUAAAAAUCACUCCCACACUUACAUUUUUAAAUCAAUUAUCAUUCUGAUGGGACUUUCAGAGCACUUAACAGCUGCCAUCAUGUCUUUUCUGAGUGCCAGAUACUAAGAAGCAUUUUUGGGGAUUCAGCUUUCGUUGUAUUUAGAAUCCCUGCGCAGCCAAGUUCUGACAUAAGCAUAUGCCUCAGAUGAUCACAUAACCACCAAGGCUGAGAGCACCUCUGAAGACCAUCUGGUCCAACCUUUCUUCUCAAAGCAGUCACCCAGAACAGGCUGGAAUAUCCCCAACUCCACCACCCCUUUGGCCAACCCCAUGGCCGAUGCUCCAGGCCCUGAAUCACCUUUACAGUCCUUCCCUGUACCCAGCCCAGUAUGUCCAUGUCCUUCCUGUGCAGAGCCCAGAACUGGAUGCAGCACUCCUGCUGAGGUCUCACUGGCACUGGGUAAAUGGGAACAACCUCCUCCCUUGCCCAACUGGUAAUGCUUUUCCUAACGCAGUCCAGAAUGCUGUUGGUCCUUUUCCAAUAUAUACUUUUAUAUCUAUAAAAGAAUUUCAAGCAUACAGUUUUACAAUUCCAGGACCUGUUAUAAACCAGGGAAGUAAAAACUGUAUUAUUCUG
ensembl:lncRNA